rfam:Trametes versicolor FP-101664 SS1 unplaced genomic scaffold TRAVEscaffold_7, whole genome shotgun sequence.
GGCCGGCUGGCCUAAUGGUUAAGGCGUCAGUUUCCGGUGCUUUCUUAGCCACUAGUAGCUGAAGAUUCUCGGUUCGAAUCCGAGGUUGGUCG